CACGUAGGGGGCGAGCGUUGUCCGGAUUUAUUGGGCGUAAAGAGCUCGUAGGCGGCUCGGUAAGUCAGGUGUGAAACCUCCAGGCUCAACCUGGAGACGCCACCUGAUACUGCCGUGGCUAGAGUCCGGUAGAGGAGCGUAGAAUUCCUGGUGUAGCGGUGAAAUGCGCAGAUAUCAGGAGGAAUACCAGCGGCGAAGGCGGCGCUCUGGGCCGGUACUGACGCUGAGGAGCGAAAGCAUGGGGAGCGAACAGG
rnacentral:rRNA from 1 species